UAAAGUACAUAUACAUUAGUCGUAACAACAAGCGUGCUGUUUGCUAAUGAAAUGAGAUGACCCAAAACGAGAAAAAGGAGGUAACGGAAAAUGAAAAGAAGAAGUGAAAUGAAGGAGAAAAAACACAACACGGCGAUUGCGUCGGCGAACUCAAACAAAGUGCGAUUUUGAACGUCGAACACGAGAUCAGAGGAUGGAAAAGGGUGCACUUGACUUUAUCGAUGAAAGAGCACAAAUGAGCCAAUGAAUCAGAUCAAACGAGAUACUUUUCGAGCAGAUUGGAAAAUCACCAGAGU
ensembl:ncRNA T07F12.10 ncRNA